AUUGAACGCUGGCGGCAUGCCUUACACAUGCAAGUCGAACGGCAGCACGGGAGCAAUCCUGGUGGCGAGUGGCGAACGGGUGAGUAAAGUAUCGGAACGUGCCCAGUCGUGGGGGAUAACGUAGCGAAAGUUACGCUAAUACCGCAUACGAUCUAUGGAUGAAAGCGGGGGAUCGCAAGACCUCGCGCGAUUGGAGCGGCCGAUAUCAGAUUAGGUAGUUGGUGGGGUAAAGGCUCACCAAGCCGACGAUCUGUAGCUGGUCUGAGAGGACGACCAGCCACACUGGGACUGAGACACGGCCCAGACUCCUACGGGAGGCAGCAGUGGGGAAUUUUGGACAAUGGGCGCAAGCCUGAUCCAGCCAUGCCGCGUGCAGGAUGGAGGCCUUCGGGUUGUAAACUGCUUUUGUACGGAACGAAAAGGUUUGGCCUAAUACGCUGAACUCAUGACGGUACCGUAAGAAUAAGCACCGGCUAACUACGUGCCAGCAGCCGCCGUAAUAC
rnacentral:rRNA from 1 species